AAAUUUUGUUAGCUUUGUUUCGGGACUGUAAUCAAGACAUAUUAAAACUUCUGUUGGUUACAAUUAGUUGUUAAAAAUGUAUAUUUGCAAGAAUAUACACGCAUAAGUACUUUCGACGCAAGAUUAUAAAAAAGAAGCACUCGGAAAAUAGAUUUAUAUGUGAAAUACAUACAAAAGUAUUUAUUUAGUUGCAAUGUAUGUAUGUACAUAUGUAUGUGUAUACAAGUAUACUUACACAUAAUUGUUCAGCUUUCAAAUACUGUUCAGAAGUGAAUCAUAAGACGCUUUAAAAGAUUAUAUUGUGUAACGUAUAUGUUCUUAUUUGUGUAUACAACAAUCGUGGAAAUUGACAGUUUAGAAACAACAUAUAAAAAAUUUCCAAUGAAUAUAAGUGCAUUUGAAGUGCGAAAAGUUUGUCAAAUAAGAUAAUAAAGCCUAUAAGCUAUAUAUAAUACAAUUACAUGAUCUUAUGUAUACCUAUAAAUCAAACUAAACAAUGAACAAACUUGUUCUGCUACUCCUUUUGUGUUUUUUUAAAACGAUUAUCGGAAUGAGAGAUGUGUUUGUUCAAAAAAUUGAAGCUUUAAUUGGAGAAAACGUUUAUCUACCAUGUAAUGUAACAAGCUACGAAGGCGAUGAAGCUGUUUUAGUUUUGUGGUAUCGAGAUGACAAAGGAACCCCCAUAUACAGGUACAAAGAAUUCUGAAAAUUAUUAUUUUUCAGAAAUGUUUAACGAUAGA